rnacentral:rRNA from 1 species
GACGUGGGGGGCAAGUGUUCUUCGGAAUGACUGGGCGUAAAGGGCUCGUAGGCGGUGAAUCGGGUUGAAAGUGAAAGUCGCCAAAAAGUGGCGGAAUGCUCUCGAAACCAAUUCACUUGAGUGAGACAGAGGAGAGUGGAAUUUUGUGUGUAGGGGUGAAAUCCGUAGAUCUACGAAGGAACGCCAAAAGCGAAGGCAGCUCUCUGGGUCCCUACCGACGCUGGGGUGCGAAAGCAUGGGGAGCGAACAGG